rnacentral:rRNA from 1 species
GGCUGCAGUCGAGGAUCUUCGGCAAUGGGCGCAAGCCUGACCGAGCGACGCCGCGUGGAGGAUGAAGGCCUUCGGGUUGUAAACUCCUGUCGAGGGGGAGGAAGGGGAAACCUUGACCGAUCCCUGGAGGAAGCACGGGCUAAGUUCGUGCCAGCAGCCGCGGUAAGACGAACCGUGCGAACGUUAUUCGGAAUCACUGGGCUUAAAGCGCGUGUAGGCGGAUGGGAACGUCGGAUACUGAAAGCCCCCGGCUCAACCGGGGAAGUGGUUCCGAAACGACCUGUCUGGAGGGACGUAGGGGGAUCUGGAACUUCCGGUGGAGCGGUGAAAUGCGUUGAGAUCGGAAGGAACGCCCGUGGCGAAAGCGAGGUCCUGGACGUCUGCUGACGCUGAGACGCGAAAGCUAGGGGAGCAAACGGGAUUAGAUACCCCGGUAGUCCUAGCCGUAAACGAUGGGCACUGGGUAGGGGGCUCGCCGAUGGGCUCUCUGCCGUAGCGAAAGCGUGAAGUGCCCCGCCUGGGGAGUAUGGUCGCAAGGCUGAARCUCAAAGGAAUUGACGGGGGCUCACACA